rnacentral:rRNA from 1 species
UACGUAGGUGGCGAGCGUUGUCCGGAUUUACUGGGCGUAAAGCGCGCGCAGGCGGUUCGUUAAGUCCGGUGUGAAAGCUCCCGGCUCAACUGGGAGAGGUCAUUGGAUACUGGCGGACUUGAGGGAUGCAGAGGAAGGUGGAAUUCCCGGUGUAGUGGUGAAAUGCGUAGAGAUCGGGAAGAACACCAAUGGCGAAAGCACUCUGCUGGGCCGAAACUGACACUGAGAGACGAAAGCUAGGGGAGCGAAUGGG